CGGGGUGAGUAAUGUCUGGGAAACUGCCUGAUGGAGGGGGAUAACUACUGGAAACGGUAGCUAAUACCGCAUGACGUCGCAAGACCAAAGAGGGGGACCUUCGGGCCUCUUGCCAUCGGAUGUGCCCAGAUGGGAUUAGCUAGUAGGUGGGGUAACGGCUCACCUAGGCGACGAUCCCUAGCUGGUCUGAGAGGAUGACCAGCCACACUGGAACUGAGACACGGUCCAG
rnacentral:rRNA from 1 species